GCCAGCAUAGCGUAAUUGGUUAGCGCACUCGACCGGUAAUCGAGAGGUGCGUGGUUCGAGUCCCGCCGCUGUCUGGCU